rnacentral:rRNA from 1 species
UGCGCAGGCGGCCAAGUGUGUCAGAUGUGAAAUCCCGAGGCUCAACCUCGGAACUGCGUCUGAAACUACUCGGCUAGAGUAUCGGAGAGGGUAACGGAAUUCACGGUGUAGCAGUGAAAUGCGUAGAUAUCGUGAGGAACACCAGAGGCGAAGGCGGUUACCUGGACAAUUACUGACGCUCAGGCACGAAAGCGUGGGGAGCAAAAG